GGGCCUAUGGUCUAGUGGUAGAACACUACAUUCGCAUUGUAGAGGCGGCGGUUCGAUUCCGCCUAGGUCCA
rnacentral:tRNA from 1 species